CCUACGGGAGGCAGCAGUGGGGAAUAUUGCACAAUGGGGGAAACCCUGAUGCAGCGACGCCGCGUGAGUGAAGAAGGAUUUCGGGAUGUAAAGCUCUAUCAGCAGGGAAGAAAAUGACGGUACAUGAGUAAGAAGACCCGGCUAACGUCGUGCCAGAAUCCGCGGUAAUACGUAGGGGGCAAGCGCUAUGCGGAGUUACUGGGGGUAUAGGGCGCGUAGACGGGGUGGCAAGUCAGAGGUGAAAGCCCGGGGCUCAACUCCGGGACUGCGUUUGAAACUGUGUACCUGGAGUGCAGGAGCGGCAGGCGGAAUUCCUGGUGUAGCGGUGAAAUGCGUAGAUAUCAGGAGGAACACCAGUGGCGAAGGCGGCUUGCUGGACUGUAACUGACGUUGAGGCUCGAAAGCGUGGGGAGCAAACAGGAUUAGAUACCCGAGUAGUC
rnacentral:rRNA from 1 species